rnacentral:tRNA from 1 species
UCCCUGGCGGUCUAGUGGUUAGGACUCAGUGCUUUCACUGUGGUUGUCCAGGUUCAAUACCUGGUCAGGGAA